GCAUUAUUUUACCUUGAUGUACAGUACACCUGCUCCAGCGUCAAAACAAUGGUGGACUGAUGACAGCUCACUCAGGGCGGAUCUAAGGUUUUUGGUGAAUGAUGGCUGUAGGGUCAAUGAGAAAUCAGCGGAGAGCCCUAAAUGUUUAUCCAGGCUGCUGACUGGUGCAAAUAGUCUUCUGGAGCACCAUCAGGUUUCAGGCCAGCUACCCUGCAUGGCUGCACUGCCACUAUAAAUCCACAAGCUGAUUAAACAGUAAAUUUAGCAUGCCUAUCAACUUACCAUUAACCAGGUUGCUGCUUUCAAAAACAUCAUUAAUCAAGCAGCAGAUAUGGAGGAAAAUAUCAGUCAUCGAUCCUGUGCACUUAUGACAGUUAACACUGCAGCAUAUUAGCAUUGAGCGGCCGCUGAUCUAUCAAUUACUUACCGACCACAUGAUUCGCCUGCUGCCCGCACUCAUUCUAAUUCUGCAUUUCCCUCUUCACUAAUGCAUUUCAACUGUUAUCUCAUAGGCUAAUGAAAGCAAACAAAUCAAUAAAUAUAAAUUAUACAUGCGAGGAUGUACCGCUGCCAACAUAAAGCCCCUAAUUAAUUGCACUUGAUUAAUUUAUAUACUUUAAUUAUCUCUCUAAGCCACACGAGGCAUAAAUAUCAGGACAAUCUGCUUAUUGCUAUGUCAGUCAUAAAACGGCAGACGCUGGGAAACGAUUAGCACAGCCAGAAUAUCGUCAAUGGGAAACACACAGUUGCUGACAGAAAAAAGUCAAAGCACUGAAUAAUUUAAAGUAAGCAAAAGCAGCACAAAAUGAGUGAAGGCCUGGAACAAGACCACUGCUUUUAUUUUAUGCAUCCCGGCUUUAAUAUGGUAAGUGAUUCGUACUGCAUGUUGCGCAAACAACACGAACAACAAGUCUAGCACAGAAACGAGCCAUUUCUCCUCUCGGUUACUGUUCAGCGUCUCAUUCAUCUAGUCUAACAUAUUAAUAAAAAUAGAAAUCGAAAAAUUACAACUAUUAUGUUGACACAAUAAAAUGCAUUCAUUUAAUAUUGUACUGCAGCUGAUUUACUUUUAAUUGCAAUUUAAAUGAAUUUGUAAUGUUAAUCAUUCAUUGGCCUACAUUCAGUUUUUGAAAAUAAAUAAAUAAAUAAAAAGGCAAUCCACCAGUCUUGGAUAUGGCAUGCUCUAGAGAAAUUAACAAAAUUGAACACGUUGCUUUUCAACACCUGAUAAUAAUGAUAAUAUUCCAUUAUGAAGAAAUCUAAGGAACAAAAUCAAUUUAUGAGCCUGUCUUGCAGCCGAGGCCUUUAGGGGAGAUGGCCCAAGGAAGGCAAACAAUAUAAUCAAAGAAAUGUAAGAGAGAAUGAGUGUGAAAAAAAGUGCAAAAAAGUAAAGGGGGGGUUGUAAAUGAGUUUUAGGAAUGUGAAAGAGGAGUUACGUCCUGAUUCCUGUUAAUUACGGUUUUUAGAACAAUUAGCCCAACAGGGAGCAUGACAGAAUAAUUAUGGUAUCCGUGGUUACAGUGGAACAUUAAUGUGUCCAGGUACAGUAAAUAUGUCGGAGCCCGAGGUGACGCGACCUUGCACCCCUCACAGCCGCAUCUUGAUAUGUACUAAAUUGUCUGCCCUUGUGAAACUGUGUCCUAAUGGGCUUUAGAAAAUUACAGUGUCUGCCACGGGUCUUAUCUCUUUAAACAAAGAACUUGUUUCUUUUUUAUUUUUUAAGUUUGUGCUAAUUAUACAUCUUCAGCAAUUGGAUUUGUGACAGUUACAGAGACUGCUGAUGUGUCCAUAGUUUCCACUUAAGCUUUAGACCUCCGACACAGCAGCUCGCCUGGACUUUAUGGAGUAACAGAAGCCGGUGUGCUGUAUAGGUGCUUGCAGACAAAACAAUUGGAGUGCAUAAAUGCCAGACUGUACAUAAAAACACCUGAGAGAAUUUGGCUGAAACAUCAAACACACCCUAUACACAGCAUACACACAUUCGUCUGUUAACGUGCCAGUGACUACAGAGAGAACAGAGCUCCUUGUCUCUCUUCGAUUUGGGUGUUUUAUCUAUAGAGCUCAAACUACCAGAGAAGGAACUCAGCAGACAAACUUUGUAUGUUUCGAACAUAAAUAAUAUAAAUACACUACUGUUUAAAAGUUUGGUGUUGGUAAGAUGUUUUAAUGUUUGUUUUUGAAUGUUCACGAUUUGCAUUUGAUCUUAAAAUACACAUAUCUUCCAUGUGGAGAUUUCAUUGACACAGUCACCUACACAAUAUGUAUUGUGAAAAGUGCUAAAAAAUAAACAUGAAUUAAACCGGAAGAAGUCUCUGAUGUUUACCAAAUGCUGCAUUUAUUUGAUCAAAAACACAGUAAAAACUGU
ensembl:lncRNA